GUCUGAGGAGCUGAUGAGUCAGCAGUGGCGGUGGCGUGGAAGCCAUGACCGCCACUAAACACUGCACCUGAACUGGCUGAGGUGGUAGCUGUUAAAGUCUGAAAGAAAAUAUAACUGUAAGCAGGUCACAGAAAUACAGGGCGAACAAAUAGUAAAGCGACAGGAUAAAGCGGAGGUGUGAGUCCAUCUGUCGUCACCGCAACAAAAUACCCGAGGAAAUGUGGAAAACCUUGUGCUGUCUCCUGCUUCAGAGGCACCAGCCCUAGGUCACGCUCAGCCUGGGCCUGUGGUGAGAUCCACCUCACAGCAGAAGUUUGUGUUGCUCUCUCACACUAACGGUUUGAGAAUUUGAUCCCUUCUGCUACCUAGAAGCUGGUUGCCCCUGAGGUCCCUCCUUCCUCUAGCAUACCACUCCUCAGAAUGUCCAGAGAUGACGCUGCAAGGACCCGUCUGUGACGAACUAGGGCACUGAGGAGAGCGUUCUCCAGGUUCCUUCCUCUUCCUGCGUUGCCAUUGUUACCGUGUGACAUUCCAGGGUCACCGAGAGUCAGGAGAGACAACAGCACACUCCGCCCAUUUCAAUAAAGAGAAAAGCAAUCUCGAGAAAGCAAACGACCCCUGCCAACCCUCGGUUGGAAUCUCAGGACUCUGACUGCGUAUGCUCUACCCAGUGGAAACGUUCGCCACAUGGGCUGGGGAGAUGACUGGCUUGGGUGAAGCACUUGCUACACAGCCCAAGGACCUGAAAUCAGAACCCCAGAACCCUUAGAAAGACUGGCGUGGCUCCCAGCACCCUACAGGAAAGUGGGAAGCAGCGACAAGAACAUUUCUUGGCAAACUGGGAAGGAGGAGGAGUCCCCAACUGGAACAAGGUGAGGGCCGACACCCAAGGUUGUUCUCCACCCUCCACCCAUGUGCUGUGGCAUGCACUAGUCUCUACUCACACCCACAAACAUAGGUCAUCAAACACAGGCUCGCAGUGUGGCGGGUGGGGAGAGGGAGAGAGAGGUGGGUUUUUUUAGUUUGGUUUGGUUUGGUUUGGUUUGGUUUGGUUUGGUUUGGUUUUUUAAAGAACUUGAGAACCUAUGGGGCUUAAUGUUUGAAGAAACCACUGAAAUAAAGUGCAAAGAAAAGCCAUACUAGAUGAAGAGAAAGGGGACAACAUUUGAAAUGUAAAUAAAGAAAAUAUAUAAUAAAAACAAAAAGAGUAAAGAAAUAGCUGAAGGGAAGAGAAGGAGCAACUGACCUGGGCACAUGCUUCCAGGGGGCUCUGCCUUGGAGAAGAAUGACCUGGGUUCCAUUUGGAACAUGUGGGGAGCUAGCUGCAUGGUGAAUCCCCUGAAUUUGAUCAUUACAUAAAAGCUACAGAAGAGAAGAAACGGUCCUGUACUUGAUGGAGUUCGUGGGCUGGAAGGUCUCUGUGCCCCACUCUCUGUUUGUUCAGAAAGAAGUGAGAAAAGUGCAUGCAUGCGCCAUGGCGGCAGUGGCAGGUCCUGAGAGAGCAGACUGUGGCACACAACAUCAGCUCAAUGUGCCUGUAGCUUUUCUGAAGCCUGAACAUUUUUCUAAGAUGAAGAGUGUAAAAGGAUAGGUAAGAACACACCUGUGGGGAUGGAGAGAUGACUCCGCAGUUUAAAAGCACUAACUGCUCUUCCAGAGGUCCUGAGUUCAAAUCCCAGCAACCACAUGGUGGCUCACAGCAAUCUGUAAUGGGAACUGGUAACCUCUUCUGGUGUGUCUGAAGACAGCGACAGAGUACUUAUGUGCAUAAAAUAAGUAAAUAAAUCUUUUUUUAAAAAAACUGUGAUAAACCCAAAGCCUGUAUUAAAUCCAUAUUGCAUAGUUAUUUGUUUUACUGUGUAGGGUCAUGAGCCCACUGUCACACACGUGCUAAGCAAGCACUCUACCACUGAGCUACAGCAAGCCUGUUAUUCUUUUCAUUAUUAUUGCUACAGCAUAUCACCACUGAUAUCACCACCACCGUCAUCAUCACCACCACCAUCAUCAUCAUCGCCACCACCGUCUUCAUCACCGGCCAUGCUCCCAUCUGUAACUCUGUCCUACUGCUACUUUAUGUACCUAUCACUACAUCAGCCUCAGCUCUCAUUAGUGAGAGAGGUGCUAAGUCACAGAGUUGUUCCGAGUCCUUGCAUGGCUGAGGUCUCAUUCUAGGCAAUGAGACAAUGAAGAAUAGACACACACACACAUUUGUCAAUGGACAGAAAGGCUGAGAUUUUGUGGACUAAGGGUUCCAA
rnacentral:lncRNA from 1 species